UACGGAGGGUGCAAACGUUGCUCGGAAUCAUUGGGCGUAAAGCGCACGUAGGCGGCGCGUUAAGUCGGGUGUGAAAGCCCUGGGCUCAACCCAGGAAGUGCAUUCGAAACUGGCGCGCUUGAAUAUGGAAGAGGGUCGCGGAAUUCCCGGUGUAGAGGUGAAAUUCGUAGAUAUCGGGUGGAACACCUGUGGCGAAGGCGGCCAUCUGGACGUUCACUGACGCUGAGACGCGAAAGCGUGGGUAGCAAACAGG
rnacentral:rRNA from 1 species